rnacentral:rRNA from 1 species
CGGAAUUGACUGACUAUGAUGACGCUAGCGGGAGGCCUAACACAUGCAAGCCGAGCGGUAGAGUAUCUUCGGAUACUUGAGAGCGGCGUACGGGUGCGGAACACGUGUGCAACCUGCCUUUAUCUGAGGGAUAGCCUUUCGAAAGGGAGAUUAAUACCUCAUAAUAUACUGAUUGGCAUCAAUUGGUAUUGAAAGCUCCGGCGGAUAGAGAUGGGCACGCGCAAGAUUAGAUAGUUGGUGAGGUAACGGCUCACCAAGUCAAUGAUCUUUAGGGGGCCUGAGAGGGUGAUCCCCCACACUGGUACUGAGACACGGACCAGACUCCUACGGGAGGCAGCAGUGAGGAAUAUUGGACAAUGGGUGCAAGCCUGAUCCAGCCAUCCCGCGUGAAGGACGACGGCCCUAUGGGUUGUAAACUUCUUUUGUACAGGGAUAAACCUACCCUCGUGAGGGUAGCUGAAGGUACUGUACGAAUAAGCACCGGCUAACUCCGUGCCAGCCGCCGCGGUAAUUUGGCG